AUGCACUGUGGCUAUUGCAAAGGAGCUGGUCAUAACAGAAGUGGUUGCUCAAAGUUGAAAGCUGCUGUACUAAGAGAAGAGGAAGAUCAACAUGAGCAGACUGGGGACUUUGGAAGUGAUCCACAUGAGCAUGGCAGAACAGAUAAUGUUGAAAGUGAUCAACCUGAUCAUGGCAGAACAGAAAAUGUUGCAACUGAGCAGCCAGAAUCACAUAGUAGGAGGGGAAGGAAGAGAAAGCCCACUGGCAAAAUGAGGGAGCAAAUAGAGCAAACGAGGGAGCAAGCUAAGAAAAAGAAGUCAAAGAUGGUUAUUGAUGAAAAUGGAGAUGUUGACUUCCCUAUAAUUCUAACUCACAUUCAGAACAAAACUUUGAGGCCAGAUCUUGACCCAACACGGGUUGAAGACAUCAUGAUACAUAUUUUAUCACAUGAGGUAUAG
rnacentral:rRNA from 1 species